rnacentral:rRNA from 1 species
CUUGCUUUCUUUGCUGGCGACCGGCGCACGGGUGAGUAACACGUAUCCAACCUGCCCCUUACUCGGGGAUAGCCUUUCGAAAGAAAGAUUAAUACCCGAUAGCAUAAUGAUUCCGCAUGGUUUCAUUAUUAAAGGAUUCCGGUAAAGGAUGGGGAUGCGUUCCAUUAGGUUGUUGGUGAGGUAACGGCCCACCAAGCCUUCGAUGGAUAGGGGUUCUGGGAGGAAGGUCCCCCACAUUGGAACUGAGACACGGUCCAA